CGGGACGGGUGAGUAAUGCUUGGGAAUCUGGCUUAUGGAGGGGGGUAACUACGGGAAACUGUAGCUAAUACCGCGUAGUAUCGGAAGAUGAAAGUGCGGGACCGUAAGGCCGCAUGCCAUGGGAUGAGCCCAAGUGGGAUUAGGUAGUUGGUGGGGUAAAGGCCUACCAAGCCUGCGAUCUCUAGCUGGUCUGAGAGGAUGGCCAGCCACACUGGAACUGAGACACGGUCCAG
rnacentral:rRNA from 1 species